UGGGGAUUCUCGGACGGCUGCCAGGAGUGAGCGGCAAAGUGCCGAGCCGGCUUGGGCUGCUUUCCUCCCUCCACCGCCUGCUCGUUUCGUCGUGCGCGGGCCGGACGGUGGGGCUGCAGCGGCGAAAGCGACUGAAGUUCCGGAGCAGUCGCAUGAGCUUACCGGUUACCAGGAGGCCCCGGGAACAGACACCUCACCCUGACAUUGUGGCAGGAACUUCUGGACUGUUUUCCAAAGUGGCUGCACUGUUUUCUCUCCUCACUGGUAAAUGGCAGGAAAACAUCUAAGAAUGGAGGCUCCCGCUUCCCUUGCAGGGUGACCAGCAAUUAAAAAGAAGUACUAGAGAGGCAAAUAUUGGCAGUAUACAUCUAAGCGCUGGUCAGAAAAGAAGGAACCCAACCCAAGAACUUGCCCAAUCUGAUACUGGAGGUGCCGCUCAAGAACCAUUCCCUCCAAGAUGUUUUCCUGGAUUUCCUCAGCCUAAAGUAAUCCCUCUUUUUCCUGAGUGAGUCAUAUCUUUUAGUUUAUUCGUCUUGUUUGGCUCAUAUUCACUGAUUUACAUCCAUACUCAUUGCUUUGUGCUUAUUUGUAUUCGUGAGUUACAUUCUCUACCAGAUUUUAAAUUCCUUGAGGGUAGGUACAUAUGUUGUUCAACUUUUUUUUU